AUUCUUCUCCUUCUAAUAUUAUUCACUUUCCACACCAAAUUUUCUACUACUCAAUAUCAUUUGUGUAAAAAUACAAAUGGCCUCUUCUAUCGAAGCCGGAGGGUCGUGGACAAAUGUUCAAAGGGGUCAAAAUCUUGGUGACGAGGUAAAAAAUUUCUCAUUGCCGUUUUAUUCAAUUUAAUGUCAUUUUUUUUGUUAUUUUCUAUUUAAUUUUUUUAAUAGAUCAUGCAAGGCAAAACAAAUGGCUCCUCAAGUGAACAAUGCCCGCAGUCGGUUCUAGUGGUACGUUCCGUGUCGAAAAUAAUGGCAUUAUUACGUCAUCCGAAAGAAAAUACUCCCACAUGUCUUGAUCUGUGGAACCGUCCAUGUACUCAAUUGUGUCAGACUAUGAGGACCGGGAGUAUUUCAAUUGUAUGAUGAGUGAGAUGUGAAUUUUAU
rnacentral:lncRNA from 1 species